rnacentral:lncRNA from 1 species
CUCAGUGCCAACACGCCUCAGGAGAGAAAGAGAAGCAGAGAGGUCACGACGCAGAACUUGAUUCUGGAGCCAGAGCUGGGGCAUCUUUUCCUGGGGUCUCCAGGUUGUGAUCAUGGACAGAGGCUGGCAAGGGGAAGGUAUGAUGACAGAACUCAAGUUGUGCAAGGGGAGACAUGAGAGUACCCUCAGUUCUUAUGCUCCUGCCAUUCCAGAACUCCAUGACAUUGGAGCAGUAUCGCCCUGAAUGGGCAAUUGAGCAUAGUGGUCAAAGCCGUGGACCCCAGAGCCAGGCUUCCUGGGCUUCAAGUCUCAGCAUGCCAUUUACUAGCUGUGUGAC